CCCAGUUCGGAUCGCAGGCUGCAACCCGCCUGCGUGAAGUUGGAAUCGCUAGUAAUCGCGGAUCAGCAUGCCGCGGUGAAUACGUUCCCGGGCCUUGUACACACCGCCCGUCACACCAUGAGAGUCGGGAACACCCGAAGUCCGUAGCCUAACCGCAAGGGGGGCGCGGCCGAAGGUGGGUUCGAUAAUUGGGGUGAAGUCGUAACAAGGUACC
rnacentral:rRNA from 1 species